rnacentral:rRNA from 1 species
GACAGAGGGUGCAAACGUUGUUCGGAAUUACUGGGCGUAAAGCGCGUGUAGGCGGCCCUGCAAGUCGGAUGUGAAAUCCCACGGCUCAACCGUGGAAGUGCAUUCGAAACUGCAGGGCUAGAGUCCUGGAGAGGAAGGUGGAAUGCUUGGUGUAGAGGUGAAAUUCGUAGAUAUCAAGCGGAACACCGGUGGCGAAGGCGGCCUUCUGGACAGUGACUGACGCUGAGACGCGAAAGCGUGGGGAGC